CCUACGAGUGGCAGCAGUGGGGAAUAUUGGACAAUGGGGGAAACCCUGAUCCAGCGACGCCGCGUGAGUGAAGAAGUAUUUCGGUACGUACAGCUCUAUCAGCAGGAAAGAAAAUGACGGUACCUGACUAAGAAGCCCCGGCUAACUACGUGCCAGCAGCCGCGGUAAUCCUUAGGGGGCAAGCGUUAUCCGGAUUUACUGGGUGUAAAGGGAGCGUAGAAGGCAGCGCAAGUCUGCAGAUAAAUGCCGGGGCCCAACCCCGGCACUGGUCUGGAAACUGUGAAGCUGGAGUGCAGGAGAGGUAAGCGGAAUUCCUGGUGGAGCGGUGAAAUGCGUCGAUAUCAGGAGGAACACCGGCGGCGAAGGCGGCUUACUGGACUGUAACUGACGUUGAGGCUCGAAGGCGUGGGGAGCAAACAGGAUUAGAUACCCCUGUAGUC
rnacentral:rRNA from 1 species